AGGACUGGGCCAAGCUGCAGGCUGGGUGUGAGUGGUGGGAGGGCGCAGGGGGCAUCCCGGUGUCUCAUCGUCCCCCUGAAAGAUUUUUGUCCCAUUCUUUGCAGAAUCAAAGUGCCAAACCUUGAAAGUCACAGUUUUAUUGUAGGCUCCCAGAGCAAAUGAGCUCGGCAGGAGGUUUGCAGGGCGAGUGUUACAGAGGGGCUCUUGGCUUUGGCUGGGCAGUGUACAAGACUUGGUUGCUUUGAGCUGGAAAUGGGCAAAACUUUGCUUUUCUGCCCUUCUGGGGCUGGCCUGGCUGUGCUGGGCUGGGACAAGGGCUCCUACCUCUCACGUUGGUUUCUGCCAGCAAAUUCUCAGCUUUUUUCAGUGACGUUCAACAAGGGACAAACCAACAGGCUGCAGGAACAGGAGGCUGGCUUGGGAAGGAAGGAGCAGGUGAGCGACUUGCCUCGCUGUCAGCUCUGCUGAUGCUCAGCGUGCCUGGGGGUUGUGUGCCUGGCUUCCUCACCCCGAAGAAGCAUUUACAGGAGGAUUUUGUGCUCGGCUCAGAGGAAACCCUCCUAAGGACAGUGUGAUUGGAAAGGAGUCAGGAGGCCAGUGGGCGAUGCAUCAUCCCCAUGACUUAUUCCUCCCCCAGAGUUUCUCUAAAGUUUCCUGCCAGAGCUCAUGCGCCCCGAGGAGCUUUUUCUUUCUUCGUACCUUCACCCCUUCGUAGCUACUUGGGCAGGUGUCCUGGGGCUUUUUGUGCCUGGGGAUGGAGCUUGGCCGCUUGGUGCUUGCAUCCCCGCAGGGCCCAGCUGGAUUAAACCACGAGGGGGGCACAUUUCCCUUUUGCCGCCCUGCUGCGAGGAGUAGCUGCCAGCCCAAGGCCAGUAACAAGCACUCGGAGGGCAGAAACUCGCAGGCGAGGAGAGGAAGGUACAAGAAAACUGCACAAUCAAAGGCACCAGGAGUUUUUGGCCUGGCAGCAUCAGCCCCUCCACAUGCAGGGCUGCAGGGGGGGAAUAAUCCAGGCUCUUGUCUCCGUGUGAAGGCAAAUGCCUCGUCGCUCCUGGCAGGUUUUGUCUGCAGACACUGGCUUGAGUACCCCGUAAUUACGUCUUCGCGUUGUUUAAUAUAGCAACACGGAGCCGGGCUUGUGGUAGAGAGCCAAGCGAUGCCUUUGGGCCGUGAGGACUAUAAAUACCCUAAGGGAUCAUUUUAUUUGGUCGUGGAAGGAAGAAGCUUCUUUCUUCAGCAGUUGCUGUACAAACACAGCUUCGGAGCAAAUAAAGGAGGGUUCUUAUUUCCAUACGUUAGGGAGAUACCCGGGGAUCCAGCAAAAACGCCCGAAAGACAAAAAAAAAAAAAAAAGCCUCGAAUUACAUUUCUCUACAGAAGGCCUUCGCGCACUGUCAAGCUGUCCAAAUUACAGCUUUGUUUUCAUUUUAGUUGUGGCAAUUAUUGUGCUUUGGUUAAAAAUACCACUCGGUGUCAAUUUUAAGCCCUUGGUAGCAAGGACCGGCUUAAAAUAACCGCGGGUGCAGCGCCAGGCACCAUAGGGCCUCGGCUGUGCUGGAGGCCUGGAGGCACGACUGCCGUAGCCACAGCCAGGGCCUGCUUUGUGUAACGAGAUGCAGCUCCUCCGCCCGAGAUCCUGCCACUACGAGCCUCGAAAGCCACGAUUCCUCCUCACCCUCUGCAGCUGGCUCCUUGGCUUGGUGGCGUGAGUGGUUUUGGAUGGUGCCCGGGCUGCCCCAUGCCCUGCGUGGUGCUCGGCUUUGGGGUAGAGUUCCUGUGCCCUGGCGUCGGGGCCGGGUGCUGGUUCUGCCACGAGCAGUUUGUGGAACUUGAACGCAGCUUUUCUGGCCAUAAAGGAAGAUGCUUGGAGGGAUUACAAAGGUUUUUUGGGCAUCUGCAGAGGUUACGAACCAGAGAGAGCUUCCUUGGAGCAGGACGCCUGGCGUGUCUACGGAUUUGUUAGUACAUGUGACAAAACUAAACCCAGUGGGGCCAUUCCUACCCCCUUUUUGUGGAUACAAAAUGCGACCAAAGUGAGCUCCGACCCUGAUAACCCAGCAGGUGAGAAGCAGUUCCUGCAGCCUUCCUUUUUUCCCGUUGGAGAACGUUUCCUCCUGCACGUGCUGCAGUUCUUCGCGCAGCAGAGAGCCCGACCCAGCGGCUCCAUUCCCGCAGGGAAGGCGCUGCUCCUACAACGGCAUUGCUACAAAAAGCUACAACUGCACGAUUAACCUCAAAUAAUGGCACUGCCAGAUCGUUCCUAAUAUUUUUUUUUUUCAGAUAGGUGCAGCAGUGUGAUGGAUCUGAUUGGGUGUACGUUUCGCUGCGGCACCUUCACAGCGGCGGCGUCCGUCACGAAGGACAACGUCGGACGAAGCAGCGGGGCGCUCCCUCGGUCGCGAUGGGGCAGGGCUGGAAAAAGCUCCCAUUGUUUCCACGGCCAUAUCGACCGCAGCCUGCACAAGGCCCUCUUGAUGAAGCGACCUGGCAGCGGAACAGCAAGUUCUUGUUAACCAUACACGCCAAAAGGCCCUAACACAAACAAUCCCCAUUAUAAAUUAGGCCUUUUACAAACAAUAUUUCAAGAAACUACUUGUCCAUUUUCCAUGCCAUUAUGCAUUUUUAGGAUGAUUACAUGUUGCUGCUGGAUAAUGGCCUUUUGCCAAGGGCAAAAUGGGGUUUCAAUAGGACUCAUUAUGUAGUGAAAAGUUUUUCUAUUCCUACCCCCUGGAAGGAAAAAGCCACUCACAGAUAAAGCUCGUGAUAUAAUUGCGUUGCUUCAGAUAACCAGCGACAUGACUUCCCAAUUGAUAAGCGCUUGUUUUUAUCCUUCCUUAAUCUCACAGGCCUCUUGUUGUCUUUUAAUAGGAAGCGGUGGCAGCUGCGAAGGCCACUUGAUCAUUUGGCUCUGAGCAGAGUGCGAGGCUGCCCUGCUGAUAAAAGUCAGGACAGCUCCAGCCAUCGGGAUCACUGUUAGGGCAGAAAGUGCUGGCUGCAGGGGCAGGCUGUGCCAGGCAGCUUUGCAGAGCACUGCUAAGUGAUUACGUGCCAUCGCAAACCUUCCCCUUCUCCCAGUUUGUUAUAAUGAGCUACAUCCUGGCCCUCUCUUGAAUUAAGACCUGUUCAUGUCCGUGGGGGGACGUGAAAUGCUGGGCUUUCAAAAUCGGGAUGUCAGGGUUUGGUCCUGCAGGGGGCUGGAGGACAAUAGGAGGGGUCCAACCCUUGGAUGCUGGUGCAGAGUUCAGCGGUGGCUGCUGUCACGGAGCAGCUACACAGCAGCUUUAUGGCUGGGGUCCUGGCAAAAGCAGAAUUUUCCUUGGGAAAUAAAAAAAAAAAAAAAAAAAAAAAAAAAAAGUGGCUUAUAGCCUGAUCUGGGCUCAGUUUCCAGUCCUCUCUUGGACUCCAUGGUUUUGAUCAGUUGCUCACUGCUGUAGUUUCCCGCCUGAAAAAUUGAAAUAGAAACAAUUCCUUCCUUUUGGCCAACUCUUAGGAUCGUAGGAUCUUAAAAUAAAGACUCUGUCGUCUGUACAGAACAUCAGAAUCAACAGGCUUUCUCCGUCCCAGCUGAGCUAGUGAGAUCUGUUUCUCCGAUCUCUGGCUCGUGUGCCCAGCUUUGCUAGUAAGGAUGCCCAUCGCUCUCCAUUACACGCUGCCCCCGUCGUUACUGCAGGAAUUCCAUCAGAAGGGCACAAAGUGACUUGCUGGGAGAACAAAAGCCAUGAUUCUAAAAUCACUGCUUACUAAAAGCAGCUUUCGAGGUCCCUAACUGAGGUGAGGCAAAGCUGUGAGGAGCCAGGAGAUCUGAGGGCGGGGGUGGCUCUGGGGACGGCAGCUCCUGUCCGAGUUGAGCGUGGUUUGUGUAAGACGUGCAGGAGUGGGAAAGGAAAAAGGGGUCCUGGGAUUCGGGUAGCGAGAUGGAUCCUUGCUGCUGCCACUGUUUCCUUGUACAAGGUGGAUGCUUUUACCAUUUUUCAUCUGAAAGCCCUAAAGACGUGCCGGUGUUUUACUGGGUACUCCUCUGGGCUCUGUCUCCGUUGCUGGUGAGCUCAGUGCUCCACACUGUGUUAAUCAGAAAUGCUGUAAAAUGCAAAGUGCUGAAAUAUCACGCCAUGGAGGUGCAGUAUUUUUGACCUGUGGCGAUGUCCUCCCCGUUCCCUGCUCAAGAGGGGAAUAAUUCCACCUGCUUACACCUCAGAGGAGACACAGACGUGAAAAGCUCAGGUGGAAUUAGGGUGCUGGGUCAGAGAAAAAGAGGAAAAUGAUAGUUUGGAGGGUGGGCAGAUAGAGAAGUGCAAUACCCGAGCAAUUCUUGUGCAUUACAGGAGAAAAGGGAACGGGUCGGGCUGGGUUGUGCACCCGAGCAGACAAGGGAGUUGAAAGCUGGGUGUGGGAAGUCAGCUUUUAUUCUAUUUUACAAAAUAGAUGUGUUUUAUAUAAUAUAUAUUACAUAAAUAUGUGUAUGUUGGAAGUAUACAUUUACACAUAUUGAGGAUAAGAGAGAUAAAAACACACAUAAGCAGAAAGAAACGUGUGCCCAGUGGGGAUUAUGAAGGAUUAUGAAGGACUGUUCUCUCCUCGUUGUAGGUGCAGACAGACGGCACCAGGUGUGGGUAGUGCGAGGAGGGACGGACCCACGCAGGCACGGCAGCUCCUGCCUCCUCCUGCGGGCAGACUGAAGCUCCGAGUGCAGUUCAUCAACAGGAGUUCCUAAUGCUGAAUUCUUCAUCGCCUGAAGGCUGAGCUUCUGUGCAGAAUGGAUGUGGUCCUCUCACGCUUACGUGACACUUAUAUCUGUGCAAGAAUAUCCAAAAUACACCGUGAAUGGUCCCCCAACAGAAAGUGAGUGAUGAGUCCUUGAUGGUGUUGGACAAGAUGUUGCUUAGUAUAAGCCAUAAAGAACGCCUGUAAUGUCCUGACAACAUUGAGGUGAGUAUCUGGCUACAGGAGAUCAAGCUCAAAGACAGUGUGGGUGACUCUUAUCCCUAAAGGUAAGGCGGGGCAUCAUUUUUUAUCUGCUAACAACAGUAAUAACAUCUUUAUGUUGCUCCUUCAUCCCCAAACGCAGUCUGAGCUCAGCAGUGGUUCCCUCCCUUUGUUCUUCCCAUAGAGCAGAAGUUUCUGCAGCACAAUGCCCACUCUUUGCAGAAACAGAUGCUCAAGCUAUUUGUUUUUCUUCUUUUUGCUCGAAGUUAGAUGAAUAUAAUGUGCUCUUGUGUUGUAAAAGGUUGUUUUUGUGUCUCCCAGUCACGUUUCAGUAUCAGCAAAUAUUUUAGAUAUGAGUUAAGAGAGGUACCCCACUGACAGAAGAAGGCUGGCUGAGCUUGUAGUAUCACAUCGUAAAUUCCCUCUUCUGCUAUGAAAAUGUAAUAAAAUAUGUGGCACGGCAGAUUUACAGUGACAAUGCUGCUGCUGUGCUAAGGCAACUAUUUUAUCUCUUUGUUUUAAAGCAGCUUUUACUGUACUACACACAAUGAGUACUUCCUCCAAGAAACAAUGCCUACAAGCUCGAGAUUAAUAUAAAUAUGAUCUCAUGGUGACUCUUCAUUAACUUCUUACACCAUUAUCUUCCUGCUGCUAAUAAAUUUUAGGAGCUAAAUUUACAUGCAAAAGUUUUAUUUCAAGUAUCAUUAUUCUUAGCUUAUCGUCAGCCUGGUAGUGCCCCCACCCAGUUACAUCAUCCUUGGAAAAAUUGAGUGCAAUAUGUCUUUUAUAGGCUUACUGCACUAUUACAUUUGCAAGGCUGACCACACACGUGCAGUGAGCUUCCCAGCGAGCUGCAGCCCCGUCCCGCUGGGUGAUGCAGGUUGGCAGGGUCUUCCUUGCCUGAAGGGCUUUAUCAGCACAGGUUGAUUCUCUGUAGGGUUGUGGGGGCAUGCAUAAGGCAGGACACGCAGGUCUGUAGGUAACACGGCCCACGUCCCCAGGUAAAUCACUUCACCUGUUGUAUUUUCUGUCUCUAGGAGUUGUCUCUGGCUGUGUGCUUGCAGAAUGCCUUGUCCAGGUGCAUCUUACCUUCUCUCUUCCUUUUUUGUUGUUGGGUUCUGACUUGGAACAGGAAGGUUGAGAUGACAGCCUUUAAUAUUAACCAAACUUGAAGGCCUUUUCCCUCUUCCACUGUUAGAUUGUCACGGAGGUGUCAGAGCUUGUCUGGUGGUGCUGCUGAUCCCCGUUCAGCAAAGCAUUUAAGCAUCUGUGCGUGUCUGUUACAGUCUGUGGCCACUCAUCCUGCAAACUGCAGGGAGGUGUUACUGCAGGAGCGAGAAGGAAAGAGAGAUAUUACUCCUGAUUCUACUUGGGUAUUAUUGAACAAAUAAAACUCUGCGUAUUCUAGGCUGCUCACCCAAAUAUUCCUACAGAUCAUAAACUUUCAGAGGGCAGGUGGGGACAGCAGCUGUCAUUUUCUUUUCAUGUAUUACCUUGAUGCUAGAGAACCUUUUCCAGGGAUCUAUAGGCCAGAUAAAUAUAGAUCCUGCCAUGCUAGAUGCCAGCUACUGUGGUUUGGUUUGGUUUUAUGGUUAAACAGCAUAGCAACAUCUCUUAUGGGAGGUUUAAUGUGAAAUUCUACAUGCAGUUAAUUAGUAAUAAUUAAUAGCACAAGUAGGUAGGUGAGAACUUCACUACUGAAUCCAGGAGCAGGAAGGUUUCGUUGUGAUGCUGUUGCUGUUUUCAUACUUAGGGAGUGUGGAUAUAUUUCAUCCAGGUCACUUUUUCCAUGGACAAAAAGAUCUUUGGAAUUUUCUGUAGCAUGCUCAUUGGAUAUACAAAAGGUAACUUGCUGUAGAUUUUUCUGACUCUUCUUCUGUUAAGAAAAUAAAUUUUAAGGAAUCUAGGAUUUAAGGAAUUUAAGAUUUUUAAGGAAUCUCUUCUGUUGCUGUAACGAUUAAGGGAAUCAUAGAAUGGGUUGGGUUGGAAGAAGCCUUAAAGAUCAUCUAGCUCCAGUCCCCUGCUGUGGGCACAGAUGCCACCUACUACUUCAGGUUGCCAUAAUUCCCAUAUCCCAUGAUUCUUAUGAUGGACUUUAAUUUGUUAAUUCCUAUUUAUGUUGGUGCCUCAGUAUAAUGGCAGUGAUAAAAUUCAGGAGGCUUAUGGCUCCACGCUUCACAGAGACACAAGGGAAAUGAGCAGAUCUCAUGGAUCGUGUUUUUAAGUGCUCACCAGGAAUUUUUGCUUCUUUGUCCAGAGUACACUUAGGAACUGUCCAACUGCUCCCUCUCCAUGCCUCUAGCUCCAUGAUACAGCUGGGCUGUCAACGCCUAGAUAACUCCCAAAGACUAGAAGAUGGCUAAAGCCAAGCUAACCAUAUCCUGCUACUUUUCUUCUCUGCUGUUGAGCCGGCUGAAGAGGACUUUUUGGAAGAACAGCAAAGGAGUCUGCAGUAUUAACCUCAGAGGCUGUGAUCCCUAUAAUUCUUAGAUAAAGAUUCUCACAUGUUGUCAUGGGAAAAAAAGGCAGAGGAAACAGCAAUUGGAAGAGAGAAAAUUAGCUACACACAUCAGAAUCUUCAGAAAUUCUUGUCAGAUUAGAAAUACGUGUUGCGUUGACAGGCUUGUGAUCCUUCCUCAUUUUACAUGUUUGGGAACCUCCCAACGAGGGGUGAAGGGGAUCGCCAUGGAAUGAUGGGAGAAGAAGAUAAAAGCAGACAUGGAAAGUGCUUGCCUGCUCUGGAGAGCUUUCUACCCAGUAACACAGACAUGGCCUUGAGUAAUGAAAAGCCCGUCUCUUUCAGGAUUACAUCAAAACAGCUGCAACAGCUUGCAUUUCACCAUUUACAAAACAAUUUCUUCCUCGUUUUGAUGUAAAAGAAAAUUGGCAUUUUCAUUUCUUCAGUGGUUGCAGCACGUAAGAGACCAGUGGGAAGUAGUAGUUAUAAACGUGUCUGCCGGUUAGCCAAAGCCUGUCACUACGUUUGAAGGACUUAGAGGGAGAUACAGAAGAAUGUGAAUGAAAAUCAAAGAGUCAAAAUGGCUCCCGCUGUAACUGCGGGUCACCAGGAGAGGCUCGGCCAGCCCCUGGGUUAGGAUUAACACGUGCACCCACCCAUAUGGACAAUUCCAGCCCAUGAACUGUUUUUAGUAUGGUCUGAAGGAAAUUUCAGUAUUGUGUGCUAAGUCAUCCGACAUUUUUUCCCAAACAGCAGAAUUUCCUCUCUUCUUCUGGAGAACUUUGCAUUUGCAGGGGAGCGUGUUUACAGUGGAUUCCCACAUCAGAAGCGGUGACAUCAGUGAUUCCUCUUGCAAUUUCCCAUCAGUGCCCCAGGGACAGGGCUGGCCUUCCUUUGGUAGCACGCGCUGAGGUCUGGGGACAGCAGGUGCUGUCAUACGCCCAAGUGCUUGCACGCCGGGGCGUUAAAGCCAGGUCAGGAAGCAGAUUCGUCCUCCUUCCACAUCCAUUCCUCAGGCGUGACCCCAGGAAACACCCAACUGAGGUUGUUGGAGGAUUCGCCCAGGUGAUGGCAUCAUUAAUAGCACCCACGAUGAAAGCAGAGCGUCACCCCCCGUGACUGUGUGGAGCACUGCACGAUAGCUGGGAUGUCUGUAAAAUCCGUACGAAAUUAACUACAGCUGCACAAUAGUCGAUCUCUCUUCAGCCUGUGUUGCGUCCCGGGAAGCUUAGCCAAGCAAGAGGGAACUUCUUGGUGGGGUGAGUGGCUCCACAUGGCUGAGCACCGCAGUGUCCUGCAACCACGUCCCAUGCAACCACCUCCCUGGGAGAGGAGGGAGCAGCCCCCUGCGAUGUUUGCCUCCCCACGAGCAGGACUGGGGGCUCUCACUUCCACGGCAAUGCGUGGCAGAGUCUGUUUGUUUAGUUCUCCUGCGAGGCAGUGGUAAUGUACAUCCAGGAGAAUAUAAUUGCUUUCCUCUUUGUCCUGAAGCUGUAAACUAUUUUCAGUUGUAUUAAAAAAACACAGCGUAGGAACAAAACAUGUUUGAGAAUUAUAACUGCCAUAGCCUCAAGGUUUUCCUGAUUUUUCUCCUCUGAAGAGCUUGGUCCUGCCACGUGCAGGAAUGUCUUCAUCGCAUCGUGUCCUGUACAGCAGCAUGGGAUCAGCUGGGGGACCACGGGGGAAAGGACUGCAGAGGCUGCUUUGGCUGCAGUAGGGUCAGUGAGGCAGCAGCUCCUUCGGACAGUUCAAGGGCACCCUUGUGAUUUGGAUGUGCUCGGCAAGCUGUACAUCAUUAUGGAGCCAUUAGGGCCGUGGCUUGGCAGCAGCUGUGACAUUAAAAUGUAUAAGAUGUUACCAAAGGAAGCACUUGGCAAAAUGUUUUUGGCUUCCCUAGACAUAAACAACAAAUUUUCUCUACAAUGGUAAGUUAUGACUGGGGGUGAGUCACUAAUAUAUUUAGAAGGAUGUCCUCUCCAGAGACCACAACUGGCUAAAUUAAGCCAAGACCGGGUAACCCUCGUGGUUGAGGGGCACAGUGGGGAAUUCCCAGAUGGUUUCCUGAGAUCUGCCCGUUACACACCGCUGCCAUUCCACGUGAGAACUCUGCAGGAGCUCUCUGAAUCUGUGCAGGACAGACCUUCCAGUGCUAGAAAUAGGCAUCAGCAGGCAUACUAGUGCGGGAUGUCUUAGUCUUGUGGAUUCCUGGUAGCUUCAGGGAUGUGCCCGUCGUCAAACUCAAAGGGCAGUCUGAGCAUCCUGUGGCUAUCUGGAGAUAAAAUGUAUUUUUGUGUCUGAAAAGCCAUUUCUGAAAGUUUGAUUUCCACUUUUGGGUUAACUUAGUGCUCAGGAGCUUUUAUAGCCCAGGCUGUAAGAUAAGUUCUUUAUGUUACACCUUGCCUUCAACGAGAAAGUGUGGUGAAGAUGUAGUGUCAUGGUCAGUUCAGAAGAAUCCACAGAAACGAUCUGCAGCUUGAUGUGUAUCUUCAUUCCUGGGCAAUGUAGUAACAGCUUAGCUUGUACAGCUGAUUUAACAAAAAUAUUUAUUUCAGUGAAAUUAAUUCCAGCUCACUUUUAGUUUCUUCUUUUAGAAUUUUUCCUUCUUCCUUCAUUUGGCUCUUGAUGAGGUGAGAGCUGCAGUGAUGGCAUGCAGAAACUCUUGUUUGCCAUAACAUCGUUCUGACAAUGCAGGCUUAUGAGGAGGACCAUAAGGCUGCAUGUGGCCAUAUGCACUGACACACCAACACCACGAUGUCGAAAUUCAAGUGGAAAGGACUUCACAUCUGCCUGGUAAUGCAACAAAGCAAUAUGAACAUUUUCAUAAAACAUUCUGAAACAGUUUGGUUUGGCUCGCCAUUCAGAUACUCAAGCCAAAGAGACUGUCCUGAGAGUGGUGUGAGUAUAGAAGCAAUACAGAGCAGUAAAUGAGGUUGCAGGAUGUGCAGGGCCAUUUUAAGAAGGCAGUUAAUGGGGCAGAGCUUUGUAAAAUCCCUUGGUUUUCUGCCUGUGCCCACAUACCUGAAAAAACAUAAGAAUCCCCAGCACACAAUUGUUGUACAGUUUGGGGACAUUGUUUUCAUCCUGAUGCUCCCUAAGAAGAUCACAAGAAGAAUGACCUUUACUUGAUUUUUUUUUCCUAUUUAUUUGAUGAUUUUCUCGAUUAUCCAAAGUUUAGGAAUAGAUGCUUGCCAAGUACUGCAAGAUGGUCAAAGAGUGAACUUAAUUCAUCUGUCCAUCACGAAAGACAUCAGCAGGGAUUUUUAACCCAGCAGCAGAAGAAAUACCAUGAACUGGUAGGUGGGAACCUCAAGGUGACCCUUUCUGAACAUCAAAACUUAAACAAGUAUCAACACUGAAUAAUGAAACAUUGCUGCAUUCUACCCCUACCUCAACCACAGCUGAGUGGGGUACAAGCAGGAACUGGAAGUUGGAAUCCCACUGCCAUUGGGACAGAAGUUGAAUCUGACUGGUUUUAACAAUUCCUUCAACCCUCGAUACUUUUUAUUGCAGCUGGACUUGCCAGACUGAGCCUGUUGGGGUCCUGGGUUACUGUCUGUGUAUGCCUGGACAGAUUUUUAUUUGCAUGCUAGUUUGGGAAAUGGUUGUCCUUUGUAUGUGUACUUGUAUUUACAUGUGAACAAGAGUAUUUGUUCUUCA